rnacentral:rRNA from 1 species
CUUGGUUGAUCCUGCCAGUAGUCAUAUGCUUGUCUCAAAGAUUAAGCCAUGAAUUGUAAGUAUGAACUAAUUCAGACUGUGAAACUGUGAAUGGCUCAUUAAAUCAGUUAUAGUUUGUUUAAUGGUAUCUACUACUCGAAUAACCAUAGUAAUUCUAGAGCUAAUACGUGCAACAAACCCCGACUUCUGGAAGGGAUGCAUUUAUUAGAUAAAAGGUCGACGCGGGCUAUGCCCAUUGCUCUAAUGAUUCAUGAUAACAUGAUGGAUCACAUGGCCUUUGUGCCGGUGACACAUCAUUCAAAUUUUUGCCCUAACAACUUCGAUGGUAGGAUAGUGACCUACUAUGGUGGUGACGAGUGACGAAGAAUUAGGGUUCGAUUUUAGAGAGGGAACCUGAAAAAUAGCUACCACAUCUAAGAAAGGCAGCAGGCAUGCAAAUUACCCAAUCCUAACAUGAAAAGGUACUGACAAUAAAUAACAAUACCGGGCUUUAUGAGUCUAGUAAUUGGAAUGAGUACAAUCUAAAUCCCUUAAUGAAAAUCCAUUGAAGGGCAAGUCUGGUGCUAGUAUCCGCGAUAAUUCUAGCUCCAAUAGCAUAUAUUUAAGUUGUUAUAGCUAAAAACCUCAUAGUUAAAACUAGGGUUGGGUCAUCCGGUCCACCUCACGGUGAGCACUAGUCUACUCGUCCCUACUGCCGGUGAUGCGCUCCUAUACUUAAUUGCCUAGGUCAUUUCUUUGGCGAUGUUACUUUGAAGAAAUUAGAGUGCUCAAAAUAGGCCUAUGUUUGUAUACAUUAGCAUGGGAUAACAUCAUAGGAUUUCGAUCCUAUUGUGUUGGCCUUCAGGAUCGGAGUAAUGAUUAAUAGGGAUAGUCGGGAGCAUUCGUAUUUCAUAGUCAAAAGUGAAAUUCUUGGAUUUAUAAAAGAUGAACAACUGCGAAAGCAUUUGCCAAGGAUGUUUUCAUUAAUCAAGAAUGAAAGUUAGGGGCUCGAAGAUGAUCAAAUAUCGUCCUAGUCUCAACCAUAAACGAUACCGACCAGGGAUCGAUCGAUGUUACUUUUAGGACUUCGCCAGCACCUUAUGAGAAAUCAAAGUCUUUGGGUUCCGGGGGGAGUAUGGUCGCAAGGCUGAAACUUAAAGGAAUUGAUGAAAGGGCACCACCAGGAGUGGAGCCUACGGCUUAAUUUGACUCAACAUGGGGAAACUUACCAGGUCUAGACAUAGUAAGGAUUGACAGACUGAGAGCUCUUUCUUGAUUCUAUGUGUGGUGGUGCAUGGUCGUUCUCUGUUGGUGGAGUGAUUUGUCUGGUUAAUUCCGUUAGCAAACAAGACCUCAGCCUGCUAACUAGCUAUGCGAAGGUGAUCCUUCAUGGCUAGCUUCUUAGAGGGAAUAUGGCCACUUAGGCUAAGGAAGUUUAAGGCAAUAACAGGUCUGUAGUGCCCUUAAAUGUUCUAGGUUGCACGCGCGCUACACUAAUGUAUUCAACGAGUCUAUAGCUUUGGCCGAUAGGCCUGGGUAAUCUUUGAAAUUUCAUUAUGAUGGGGAUAGAUCAUUGUAAUUAUUGGUCUUCAAUGAGGAAUUCCUAGUAAGCACAAGCCAUCAGCUCACGUUGACUAUGUCCCUGCCCUUUAUACACACCGCCCAUCACUCUUACCGAUUGAAUGGUCCGGUGAAGUGUUCAGAUCGUGGUGAUGUGGAUGGUUCACCACCUGCAACGUCAUAGAAGUCCACUAAAUCUUAUCAUUUAGAGGAAGGAGAAGUCGUAACAAGGUUUUCGUAGACAAAUCUGUGGAAA